rnacentral:rRNA from 1 species
UACGGGGGGGGCAAGCGUUGUUCGGAAUUACUGGGCGUAAAGGGUUUGUAGGUGGCUUGUUAAGUCAGACGUGAAAUCCCUCAGCUUAACUGGGGAACUGCGUCUGAUACUGGCGAGCUUGAGUGCAGGAGAGGAACGCGGAAUUCCAGGUGUAGCGGUGAAAUUCGUAGAUAUUCGGAAGAACACCAGUGGCGAAGGCGGCUCACUGGACUGGUAUUGACGCUGAGGUGCGAAAGCGUGGGGAGCAAACAGG